rnacentral:misc_RNA from 1 species
AACUUUCGGCAAUGGAUCUUUUGGCUCUCGCAUCGAUGAAGAACGCAGCGAAAUGCGAUAAGUAAUGUGAAUUGCAGAAUUCAGUGAAUCAUCAAAUCUUUGAACGCACCUUGCGCUCCUUGGUAUUCCGAGGAGCAUGCCUGUUUGAGUGUCAUUAAUAUAUAUAUAUCAAACUUCUCUUUGUUGAGUGGUUUUGGAUGUGGGGGUUUUUGCUGGGCCUCUUAAAGGGUUCAGCUCCCCUGAAAUGCAUUAGCAGAACAACCCUGUUCAUUGGUGUGAUAACUAUCUACGCUAUUGAAUGUGAGGGGCAAGUUCAGCUUUCUAACAGUCCUUGGACAAUUCUUCAUUAAUGUGACCUCAAAUCAGGUAGGACUACCCGCUGAACUUAAGCAUAUCAAUAAGCGGAGGCU